rnacentral:rRNA from 1 species
CCUUUAAGACUGGGAUAACUUCGGGAAACCGGAGCUAAUACCGGAUAACAUGUAAGACCGCAUGGUCUUACAUUAAAAGAUGGCUUCGGCUAUCACUUAUAGAUGGGCCCGCGGCGCAUUAGCUAGUUGGUGAGGUAAUGGCUCACCAAGGCGACGAUGCGUAGCCGACCUGAGAGGGUGAUCGGCCACACUGGGACUGAGACACGGCCCAGACUCCUACGGGAGGCAGCAGUAGGGAAUCUUCCGCAAUGGACGAAAGUCUGACGGAGCAACGCCGCGUGAACGAUGAAGGCUUUCGGGUCGUAAAGUUCUGUUGUUAGGGAAGAACAAGUACCGGAGUAACUGCUGGUACCUUGACCGUACCUAACCAGAAAGCCACGGCUAACUACGUGCCAACAGCCGCGGUAAUACCUAGGUGGCAAGCGUUAUCCGGAAUUAUUGGGCGUAAAGCGCUCGCAAGCGGUCUUUUAAGUCUGAUGUGAAAGCCCACGGCUCCACCGAGGAGGGGCAUUGGAAACUGGGAGACUUGAGUGCAGAAGAAGAGAGUGGAAUUCCACGUGUAGCGGUGAAAUGCGGAGAGAUGUGGAGGAACACCAGUGGCGGAUGCGACUCUCUGGUCUGUAACUGACCCUAAGAGCGAAAGCGUGGGGAGCGAACAGAAUAAAUACCCUGGUAGNCACGCCGUA